GAGUUUGAUCCUGGCUCAGAUUGAACGCUGGCGGCAUGCCUUACACAUGCAAGUCAAACGGCAGCACGGGAGCUUGCUCCUGGUGGCGAGUGGCGAACGGGUGAGUAAUGCAUCGGAACGUAUCCUGGAGUGGGGGAUAACGUAGCGAAAGUUACGCUAAUACCGCAUAUUCUGUGAGCAGGAAAGCGGGGGACCUUCGGGCCUCGCGCUCUUGGAGCGGCCGAUGUCGGAUUAGCUAGUUGGUGAGGUAAAGGCUCACCAAGGCGACGAUCCGUAGCAGGUCUGAGAGGAUGAUCUGCCACACUGGAACUGAGACACGGUCCAGACUCCUACGGGAGGCAGCAGUGGGGAAUUUUGGACAAUGGGGGCAACCCUGAUCCAGCCAUGCCGCGUGAGUGAAGAAGGCC
rnacentral:rRNA from 1 species